UCGGAGGAAGAGGACACAUUCGUGCAAGGAACUGAUGCCAUGCCGGACAUGAGCAUGGACUCCGAGAUAGAGGAUACCUUCGUGCUCAAUAUCAGCAUGGACUCGGAGGAAGAGGACACAUUCGUGCAAGGAACUGAUGCCAUGCCGGACAUGUACGUGUAAAUUCACGUUUGUGCAUGAGAAAAUGUGUACUAUACAUUUGAAGUGUAUUUUUCUGUAGCAUAAUAUUUUAGCCU
ensembl:lncRNA